CCUACGGGUGGCUGCAGUGAGGAAUAUUGGUCAAUGGGCGUAAGCCUGAACCAGCCAAGUCGCGUGAGGGAUGAAGGCUCUAUGGGUCGUAAACCUCUUUUAUCAGGGAGUAAAGUGUGGGACGCGUCCUAUUCUGUAUGUACCUUAUGAAUAAGGAUCGGCUAACUCCGUGCCAGCAGCCGCGGUAAUACGGAGGAUUCGAGCGUUAUCCGGAUUUAUUGGGUUUAAAGGGUGCGUAGGCGGCCUUUUAAGUUAGCGGGGAAAUACUGGGGGUCAAACCUCGAAUUGCCGUUGAAACUGGGGGGCUUGAGUGUGUGUGAGGCAGGCGGAAUGCGUGGUGUAGCGGUGAAAUGCUUAGAUAUCACGCAGAACCCCGAUUGCGAAGGCAGCCUGCCAAGCCACUACUGACGCUGAGGCACGAAAGCGUGGGGAUCAAACAGGAUUAGAUACCCCUGUAGUC
rnacentral:rRNA from 1 species